rnacentral:tRNA from 1 species
UCCCUCAUAGCUCAGUUGGUAAAGAAUCUGCCUGCAAUGCAGGAGACUUGGGUUCGAUUCCUGGGAAGGGAA